rnacentral:rRNA from 1 species
CCUACGGGAGGCAGCAGUGGGGAAUAUUGCACAAUGGGCGCAAGCCUGAUGCAGCGACGCCGCGUGCGGGAUGGAGGCCUUCGGGUUGUAAACCGCUUUUGUUCAAGGGCAAGGCACGGUCUUUGGCCGUGUUGAGUGGAUUGUUCGAAUAAGCACCGGCUAACUACGUGCCAGCAGCCGCGGUAAUACGUAGGGUGCAAGCGUUAUCCGGUUUUAUUGGGCGUAAAGGGCUCGUAGGAGGUUCGGCGCGUGCGGUGGGAAAGUGCAUCGUUUAACGGGUGAUCCGCGCCGGGUACGGGCGGGCUUGAGGGGGGUAGGGGAGACUGGAAUGCCCGGUGUAACGGUGGAAUGUGUAGAUAGCGGGAAGAACACCAAUGGCGAAGGCAGGUCUCUGGGCCGUUACUGACGCUGAGGAGCGAAAGCGUGGGGAGCGAACAGGAUUAGAUACCCUUGUAGUC